UACGUAGGGGGCUAGCGUUGUCCGGAUUUAUUGGGCGUAAAGAGCGUGUAGGCGGCCAGGUAGGUCUGCUGUGAAAACUCGAGGCUCAACCUCGAGACGUCGGCGGAAACCAUCUGGCUAGAGUCCGGAAGAGGAGAGUGGAAUUCCUGGUGUAGCGGUGAAAUGCGCAGAUAUCAGGAAGAACACCCGUGGCGAAGGCGGCCUGCUGGGCUGUUGCUGACGCUGAGGCGCGACAGCGUGGGGAGCAAACAGG
rnacentral:rRNA from 1 species